GUUUCCUCACUAGCCCUGCCUGCUCUCAGGACUGAUCUCUCUUGCAGGGCUGGAGCAGGCACUUGGAAUGCCCCUGGCUGAGGGUGCAAGACAGCCAACCCACCUCUGCUGCUCAUGAAAACAGGUGCCAAGAAGAUUUUUAUGGUGGCAUCGUAAGAAAAAUCAGGCUAAGUUCAUCCCAAGCUGCAGGCUAUUGGAAUGUCUUCUGUGUGGGACAGGGAACUGAAAUAUAAGGGAUUUUAUCCUCAUUUAGCAUUUAUUCCUUACCUACCCCAAAUUAAAACUGAGCUCCACAAAGGCUGCUGUCCCCAUACCUCAUCCUGCUGCACUGCACAGUCACAGCCUCCACCACACUCUGUGGGAUAAACAAAGACAAGUCUCUGAGCUGUAUGAAGAUUGGAAACUUCCCUGAGCCCUGACCAUGCCCAGUUAACCAGGCAGCAUGCCUAACCCUUGGAAUACAGCAGAGACUGCUCCUCUUAGCCCUAGAAGUCGCUUGCCAAAACCAUCCCUGGAGGAGGAUUGGGAAGGAACUUCAAU